AUUGAACGCUGGCGGCAUGCCUUACACAUGCAAGUCGAACGGUAACAGGUCUUCGGAUGCUGACGAGUGGCGAACGGGUGAGUAAUACAUCGGAACGUGCCCGAUCGUGGGGGAUAACGAAGCGAAAGCUUUGCUAAUACCGCAUACGAUCUACGGAUGAAAUCAGGGGACCGCAAGGCCUUGCGCGAACGGAGCGGCCGAUGGCAGAUUAGGUUGUUGGUGGGAUAAAAGCUUACCAAGCCGACGAUCUGUAGCUGGUCUGAGAGGACGACCAGCCACACUGGGACUGAGACACGGCCCAGACUCCUACGGGAGGCAGCAGUGGGGAAUUUUGGACAAUGGGCGAAAGCCUGAUCCAGCCAUGCCGCGUGCAGGAUGAAGGCCUUCGGGUUGUAAACUGCUUUUGUACGGAACGAAAAGACUCUGGUUAAUACCUGGGGUCCAUGACGGUACCGUAAGAAUAAGCACCGGCUAACUACGUG
rnacentral:rRNA from 1 species